UAAAUUUCGCGCAAUAAAUAAUAUAAAACUAAAACAUUAGUGGGUGACAUAUUAGUCAAUAUAAUUAAUAAAUCACUGGAAAGAGGAGAAUUUCCAACAAAUUUGAAAGAAGGCAUCAUAACACCAAUAGAAAAAUGAAAUUAUUUUAUAUGCGGACGAUACAUUAAUAUUUGCUGAGGACGAGAAUGAUACCAAAUGUAAAGAUAAUCGAAGGCAGUGUACACUACCAAAACCAUAUAGUAGUAUAUAGGCGAAACUAAUUGUCAAGGACCUAAGUCCCCUGUCAAAGACCUAACUGGUGAGAAUGUAUUAGUAGAAGCACACAAAUAAACGCAGUUGUUCAAAAGCAUCAAAAUAAUUUGUUAAAGAUCACUCAAGUUUUGACAGUCAAACAAGUGUGAUCAUUUCUUCCAAACAAAAAUUUGUGAACUUAAAUAAAAACAAUUAAUGAAAAUAAAUUGAAACAAACAAAGGCAUUAUACUGAACAAACAUUGAAUUUAACAAAUAAAAGUGUUUUACUUAAAAAGAAAAAGAAUCAGCGCAACUCCAACAACAAACAUUUGGCCACUUCGCACCGAAUAAAGUGUCGUGUAGUAUAGUGAAGUGCAGUGUUUUUUACAACAAAAAUAUAUUAAAAAUUGCAAAAAUUCAAAAAUAGGCAAAAAUUCCUAACGGCAUAUACUGGUUUUGUCUACAACAAAAGUGUAGUGGCUGACAAAAGGAAACCCAAAGAACAAGAGAGACCCAAUCAAGGAGGAAACAACAAGAGACCCAAAUUGAAAUACAGCGACUCAAAUAAAGAAGACCCAACAACAACGAGCUCCCACUAUGAUGUUGCAUUUCUUGGAAUAAAUCUUUUUUUACAUCACUAGGAAGAAAAAAGUACCAAAAGUGACGUAGAAAUUGGAAUUUUUUUGCCAAUUUGGAUUAAAUUUUACAACUUGGAAGAUUAAGUUACACUAAAUGGUGUGCUAUUUGGAUCUUGGAUUGCAAGCCUUACUUAUUCACUGUGUGUUUCUCUAUAUCUGGACGGAACAAUAGCAUUCUUUUUGUUUUGAAAAUUCAAGUGGACAAGGUGCCACGCCCAUAUUAAGAAGAUAUUAAAUACGUAUAUUUGAAAUAAUACUCAAAUUUUGUCGGAGUGACUUUAGUGUCAAUAUGAUUAUUAAGAACAAAAAGUGUGCGGAUUACCAUUAGGGGGCGUGACACCUUCCAUAUAAAUUAAAUAUAAAAAUUCGUUGAUCUUAUAAACUAUUACAGUCAGAGUCUAAAAUUUUGUACGAAUAACUUUAACGCGAUGGAUUGAAAAUGGUAAACUUGCAAUAAUUUGUUUGGCAAAUCUCAUAUGUAACACAUUGUUAAUUUGGAAAACUAUUGUAGAUAGAAUAUAAAUUAUUUUUUAAGAAUAAAAGUAUAUAUUAAA